AGUGAACGCUGGCGGUAGGCCUAACACAUGCAAGUCGAACGGCAGCACAGUAAGAGCUUGCUCUUACGGGUGGCGAGUGGCGGACGGGUGAGGAAUACAUCGGAAUCUACUUUUUCGUGGGGGAUAACGUAGGGAAACUUACGCUAAUACCGCAUACGACCUACGGGUGAAAGCAGGGGAUCUUCGGACCUUGCGCGAUUGAAUGAGCCGAUGUCGGAUUAGCUAGUUGGCGGGGUAAAGGCCCACCAAGGCGACGAUCCGUAGCUGGUCUGAGAGGAUGAUCAGCCACACUGGAACUGAGACACGGUCCAGACUCCUACGGGAGGCAGCAGUGGGGAGUAUUGGACAAUGGGCGCAAGCCUGAUCCAGCCAUACCGCGUGGGUGAAGAAGGCCUUCGGGUUGUAAAGCCCUUUUGUUGGGAAAGAAAAGCAGCAGGUUAAUACCCCGCUGUUCUGACGGUACCCAAGGAAUAAGCACCGGCUAACUUCGUG
rnacentral:rRNA from 1 species